rnacentral:rRNA from 1 species
GACGAACGCUGGCGGCGUGCUUAACACAUGCAAGUCGAACGAAGUGGCGAACGGGUGAGUAACGCGUAAUCAACCUGCCCUUCAGAGGGGGAAAACAGUUGGAAACGACUGCUAAUCCCACAUACUCAAGGAGGGGAUUGCGUCUGAUUAGCUAGUGGGAGGGGUAACGGCCCAACAAGGCGAUGAUCAGUAGCCGGUCGUGGAGGAGGAACGGCCACAAUGGGACUGGGCAACGGCCCAGACGCUGACGGGGGGCAGCAGUUGGGAAACUUCCGCAAUGGACGAAAGUCUGAAGGAGCAAAGCCGCGGGAGUGAUGACGGCCUUUGGGUUGUAAAGCUCUGUUAAUCGGGACGCGGUACCGGAAUAGAAAGCCACGGCUAACUACGUGCCAGCAGCCGCGGUAAUAC